CAGUAGCCGCGGAAAUACAGAGGGUGCGAGCGUUAAUCGGAUUUACUGGGCGUAAAGCGUGCGUAGGCGGCUUCUUAAGUCGGAUGUGAAAUCCCUGAGCUUAACUUAGGAAUUGCAUUCGAUACUGGGAAGCUAGAGUAUGGGAGAGGAUGGUAGAAUUCCAGGUGUAGCGGUGAAAUGCGUAGAGAUCUGGAGGAAUACCGAUGGCGAAGGCAGCCAUCUGGCCUAAUACUGACGCUGAGGUACGAAAGCAUGGGGAGCAAACAGGAUUAGAUACCCGCGUAGUCCCUGUCUCUUAUAC
rnacentral:rRNA from 1 species